ACUAAAAGAACAAAAUUAUGAAAAUAUGUGACACGUAUUUGUUCUGUUUUGCUUUACUGUAUUUAUUUAGAGCAUGUGUCAGUGGGCACUCUCACACACCCUCAGGAAUCACUUCUUUGCUUUCACUAUGCGUAGGCCCAGGGAACGAACUCGGGUCAUCAGGCUUGGUGGCAAGCAAGCCCCUCCAUCCACUAUGCCAUCUUGCUGACCCGUUUGCUUUUGAGACAGGAUCUCAUUUGGCUCAGGCUGCCUUCCAACUUACCGUAUAGCCAAGGAUGACUUUGAAUUGCUCCUUCCUCUGCCUCACUGGUCUAAGCAUGGAUAAGCAUGUGCCACCAAAUCUGGUGUAUGUAAAGCUGAGUACUGAUCUCAGAACUUCACACUUCACACAUGCUAGACAUAUACCCUACCCUACCAACUGUACACACAUUAGAGUGUAUAUACUUCAAGCUGGCCUUAAAUUACCAAUCCUCCUGACACUAGCUUCUCAAAUGAUAGGGUUAUAGGUGUCCCACACCUGGGUUAACAGAUGGGUCAUUUAAUUUUUUGGGACAAGAUGUAUAUAUGUAUAUAUGUAGCAAAGGCUGGUCUCAAACUCCAAAUACUCUGCUUAUGUCUCCCAAGUGCUGGGAGCAAAAAAAAAAAAAAAAAAAAAAAAACAUCAAUAAGAGCCUAUACCAGUGACUAGAAGGUGGCAGCAAGGAGAUCAUCAGGAGUAUGAGACCAACUGACAUGAUACUCCAUCUCAAAAGGGCGGGGAGGGGCAGGACAACGUGAAGAGACAAGAGGCCUGGAGACGGCUGAGGUCAUCUAGCACCAUGAGGCACUGUGUUCAACCUCAAUGCCACACAUUCAAGCUAAGGGUUAUUUCUGAAUUAAUUACAGAAUUUUAAAAUAGAAGUCAGAAUUCACUGGUGCAUACCUAACUAUGGUCCUAUCACUUGAGAAGCUGAGGCAGGAGGAAUGUAAUUUGAGGCCAGCCUGGGCUAUGGAGUAAGUCUCUGUCUCAUAGCCCACCCUUCAUAGUGAAAAUAAACUGACUACCUGAGAGCUCUGCUAAACUGACUUACACAGACCUGACUGUUAGUAAGCCCAGCUGCUGUUGCCACUGCAUAGACAUUCAGAGCAAACUCAAACCUUCAGAGGGAUCCUGUGCUCUCAGGCUCUCCACGACUUUGUUCCCCAGGGCAGCAACAGCUUCCACUAGAUUGGAAAAAAAUGAGUGACUGUUACAGUAAUGUAAACAAACUGACAUUUCCAUUUCUACCCCACAGACUGAAGACUAUUCAACUAGAAUGAACACUCUUGCCAGGGGGAACGAAAGCCUAGAAGUCUCAAGCAACAAGAAUCCCCAGGGAGUAAAACUGAUUCCAGUUGAUGGAUGUGGACUGCAGUACUGGCCAUAACUUCUUCUAGACAAGCACUGCAGUUUGUCCUUAUCACUGCAAUUGCAUUAAAAAAUAAAAAUUAAGAAAACA